rnacentral:rRNA from 1 species
CUACGGGGGGCAGCAGUGAGGAAUAUUGUACAAUGGGGGGAACCCUGAUGCAGCAACGCCGCGUGGAGGAUGACGCAUUUCGGUGUGUAAACUCCUUUUAUAUGUCAAGAAAAUGACGGUAGCAUAUGAAUAAGCACCGGCUAACUCCGUGCCAGCAGCCGCGGUAAUACGGAGGGUGCAAGCGUUACUCGGAAUCACUGGGCGUAAAGGACGCGUAGGCGGGUUGGAAAGUCAGGUGUGAAAUCCUACAGCUUAACUGUAGAACUGCACUUGAAACUUCUAAUCUAGAGUAUGGGAGGGGGAGAUGGAAUUCGUGGUGUAGGGGUAAAAUCCGUAGAUAUCACUAGGAAUACCUAAAGCGAAGGCGAUCUCCUGGAACAUUACUGACGCUAAGGCGUGAAAGCGUGGGGAGCAAAUAGGAUUAGAUACCCCGGUAGUC